CGCGUAGGCGGGUUUUUAAGUCAGGUGUGAAAACUCCAGGCUCAACUUGGAGAGUGCACUUGAAACUGGGGACCUUGAGGACAGGAGAGGAAAGUGGAAUUCCUAGUGUAGCGGUGAAAUGCGUAGAUAUUAGGAGGAACACCAGUGGCGAAGGCGACUUUCUGGACUGUACCUGACGCUGAGGCGCGAAAGCAUGGGGAGCGAACG
rnacentral:rRNA from 1 species